AUUUAUAUAGUAUAAUUAUUAUCAUUGAUUUCCAAUCAAAAGAUCUAAAUAUCUAUUUAGUAUAAAUA
rnacentral:tRNA from 1 species